AGGCCUCCAGCUUGGUCUGUCUCCCCACCUCUACCAGCAUCUGCUGAGCUAUGAGCCAAACCAGGGAUUUACAGGGAGGAAAAGCUUUCAGACUGCUGAAGGCCCAGCAGGAAGAGAGGCUGGAUGAGAUCAACAAGCAAUUCCUAGACGAUCCCAAAUAUAGCAGUGAUGAGGAUCUGCCCUCCAAACUGGAGGGCUUCAAAGGUGAGGGGGAAACUGUAGGCGGUGGAGACAGGGCUGGGGGUAGGAGGGUUAGGAUUUCCACAAGAACAAGGCAGGAACAGCAGAGAUACAAAGUUUACUUUUGUGGUAGCAAAAGGGGAACCUGCCUUUAUUGCCCUCCUGCCACACUGCGGUCCCUUUCCCGGGCCUGCCUCUCUCAGCAUCCCCUCUAGCUCCUUACACCCUAGCGGGGCCCCUCAACUCCCCAACCCCACUUCCUCUGCCUGCCCCUCCUCCUCCUUCCACGUUGUCUCCUCCACCUAGCAGUUGGUUGGCAACCCCUUCCUCAGUCCCCUGCUGAAAACCCUCCAGUCAGCGCUUAUCCCUUCUGCUCUCUCCCCUCACCCAGAGAAAUACAUGGAGUUUGACCUUAAUGGAAAUGGCGAUAUUGGUGAGAAACGGGUGAUUUGCGGGGGCAGGGUGGUGUGCAGGCCUAAGAAGACAGAGGUCUCUCCUACAUGCUCCAUUCCUCAUGAUUUGGGAGGGGGCCCACCUACCACAGUGGGAGGAAGGAGAAUGGGGAUGUGGAAGUGGGAGAGGAGAGAGAGGGUCUCCCCACCUUCUCCCCAUCCCCAUCCUCUGCCCCCAGAUAUCAUGUCCCUGAAACGAAUGCUGGAGAAACUUGGGGUCCCCAAGACUCACCUAGAGCUAAAGAAAUUAAUUGGAGAGGUGUCCAGUGGCUCCGGGGAGACGUUCAGCUACCCUGACUUUCUCAGGAUGAUGCUGGGCAAGAGAUCUGCCAUCCUAAAAAUGAUCCUGAUGUAUGAGGAAAAAGCGAGAGAAAAGGAAAAGCCAACAGGCCCCCCAGCCAAGAAAGCUAUCUCUGAGUUGCCCUGAUUUGAAAGGAAAAGGGAUGAUGGGAUUGAAGGGGCUUCUAAUGACCCAGAUAUGGAAACAGAAGACAAAAUUGUAAGCCAGAGUCAACAAAUUAAAUAAAUUACCCCCUCCUCCAGAUCAA
rnacentral:sRNA from 1 species